GUCGUAACAAGGUAGCCGUAUCGGAAGGUGCGGCUGGAUCACCUCCUUUUGAGCAAAGACAGCAUCGUCCUGUCGGGCGUCUUCACAAAGUACCUGCAUUCAGAGAAUCACAACGGCCAGGCCGCUGUGAGAGUCCCUAUAUGGGGCCUUAGCUCAGCUGGGAGAGCACCUGCUUUGCAAGCAGGGGGUCGUCGGUUCGAUCCCGACAGGCUCCACCAUCUGGCAAACCAUGCGAGUUCUUCGCAACAGCCUGCGGCAACAUGGCAGGGUGUUGAAGGAAAAGCUUUUGGGUCUGUAGCUCAGGUGGUUAGAGCGCGCCCCUGAUAAGGGCGAGGUCGGUGGUUCGAGUCCUCCUAGACCCACCAUUUUCUGGAUGUUUGAUUGCGCAUACGAAUUUUCAAAGUUUGAGUGUCAGGCGUUGAGGCCUGCAUUCUGCUCUUUAACAACUUGUGACGUAGCGAGCGUUUUAGAUGAUCAUCUAAACACGUGUCGUUGAGGCUAAGGCGGGGACCAUGAGUCCCUAGAAAUUGAGUGGUUAUAUUCGUGUUCCGGGCUUUGUACCCCUGGGACAAGGCAUAUGGCUCUGAGGCAACUUGGGGUUAUAUGGUCAAGCGAAUAAGCGCACACGGUGGAUGCCUUGGC
rnacentral:misc_RNA from 1 species